UUCACGAACAUUACCAAAUGUGCCUACAAAUGUUCAGACUCUAUUCGUUUAUUAAACGAGCUCUAAAAUUUGGUCAUUUAUGCUCGUUUACCUUAAUAAGCGAACAUAAAUGAACGCUACCAAACACAAAUAUGAA